AUGUCGGUGACAGGAGGGCAGUGCUGGUGGGGCCGGAGGGGCGGCAGGGAGGAGCAGGUCUGGGUGCUGCCGCCUGCUCUGGCGCCCCUUCCCCACGCCCAGCCCUGCCCCAGUGUCCCUCUCCCCGCAGUUCGGGGAGUCCCAGCAGCUGCGGAUGGUGCGGAUCCUGCGCAGCACCCUCAUGGUGCGAGUGGGUGGCGGCUGGAUCGCCCUCGACGAGUUCCUGGUGAAGAACGACCCCUGCAGAGUGAAGGGAAGGACCAACCUGAAGAUCAACGAGAAGUACCUGUCCUCGGACGUGUUCGGAGCCGCCGCCAGGUGCGCCGGGGCCCAGUCGGCCGCCUCCUCCAAAGUGCUGUCCCCGAGCCGCUCCAACUCCAGCCUCAGCCUCUACAGCAGCGCCUCGGCCCCCAGCAGCCCCCUGGCCAGGAAGGUACGGACCACGGAGCCCCCCCUGCGGUCCCGAGCCCCCCAACCUGCCCUCCACGGGCUCUGACCCUCAUCCUCAUCCUCACCGUCCCCAGUCGGUGCUGCGGAGGACGCGCUCCGGGGACCGUUGUCCGCGCUCCCGGGGCUCGGGGCUGCCCGACGGAGCCGAGCUGCAGUUCAGCGCGGCUGAGGAGAGCCUGCCUGUGGCACCGCCAGGUUAGUGCCUUGGGGCUGGGGGGCGCCGGGGAGCCGGGCUGUGGCACCCCCAGGCUGGGGGGCACCAGGGAGCCUGGCUGGGUGCGCGCUGUGCUCAGAGCGGCGGGACUGGAGCCGGGGCCGGCCGAGCUCCGCGCUCUAUCCAUCCCCUCCGUGGCCCCGCAGAGCCGCCCGAGGGGUCCCCUCCGGAGCGCUGCAGCCCCUGCCGCUGAGCCCCGCGCCCGCCCUGCGCCCAGCACCCUCGGCCGGCCCCACUCAGGACCCUCCUGCACGGGGCCGCGCCCCCCGCGGGUCUCCGGCCCGGCGCUGCGGCCCCCCGAGCGGGGCUGAGCUGGACGGCCGGCACCGACCGCGCCGCCGGGGCCCGUUCCAGAGGAUAUGCAAGCAUCACCUCCCGACGCCCAGCGAGCCCCCGGGCUCCGCUCCGAGCGCCCGGGGCUGCGGGACCAGCCGGGCACCCCCCGCCCUCCUCCCGUGCCCCCGGUACCCCCGGCACCGGGCCUCGCUCACGGGGGUGCCCACGGGGCCUCCCCCGCCCCGGCGGGAGGCGGCCGGGCUCGGUACCCGGCACCGGGAGCCCCCAUUCUGGUGCUAACCCUCACUCCUCGGCCUUGGGGGUGCUCCGGCCGCCCCCUGCCUCGGGGUCCAGUCCCGUCCCGCCGGCGGCACCGGGGGCAGCGGGACCCCCGCCCCACCGCCGCAUGCCCGCGCCACCCCCGCUAACCGGAGAGCAGUAGAGCUGAAUGUAACCCCGGCCGGGCGCGCCCGCCGCCACAAUAAACUGUAGUGAGG
rnacentral:lncRNA from 1 species